UGGUUCUGGCAUCGAUGAAGAACGCAGCGAAAUGCGAUAAGUAAUGUGAAUUGCAGAAUUCAGUGAAUCAUCGAAUCUUUGAACGCACAUUGCGCCCGCCAGUAUUCUGGCGGGCAUGCCUGUUCGAGCGUCAUUUCAACCCUCAAGCCCCCUGUGGACUUGGUGUUGGGGACCGGCGACAGCUCUCUUGUCUGUCGCCGCCCCCUAAAUGAAUUGGCGGCCCCGUCGCGGCCCUCCUCUGCGUAGUAGCUAACACCUCGCAACAGGAGCCCGGCGGCGGCCACUGCCGUAAAACACCCCAAACUUUUUUAGAGUUGACCUCGAAUCAGGUAGGAAUACCCGCUGA
rnacentral:misc_RNA from 1 species